UACGAAGGAUUCGAGCGUUAUCCGGAUUUAUUGGGUUUAAAGGGUGCGUAGGUGGACUAAUAAGUCAGUGGUGAAAGCCCGGAGCUCAACUCCGGAACUGCCAUUGAUACUGUUAGUCUUGAGUACAGUUGAGGUGGGCGGAAUGUGUCAUGUAGCGGUGAAAUGCUUAGAUAUGACAUAGAACACCAAUUGCGAAGGCAGCUCGUUACACGAAUAUUGACUCUGAGGCUCGAAAGCGUGGGGAUCAAACAGG
rnacentral:rRNA from 1 species